CCAGGACAAAACCGGCUUCGGAUGGGAUUGCUUCUCCUCGGGCCUGUUGGAGGGGGCCAGUGGCCACCGGAUGUAGACGGCUUGGCUCGGCUCUUCGCGCCGUGCUCGGCUCUUUGCACCAUGCUCAGCACUGAACGCAGUUAACUAUAUUUAAGGCAGACUUUCCGGGAACAUUCCAGCACGCUCUUCAUUCUUCAUUCCUCUUCCUUCUUCAUUCAGCGCCUCAUCUUCGUUCAGUACCUCAUCAGCCCUCUCGACGCGAAGCCGAACCCCAGAUGAGGAAACUGAGGUUCACUGAGGUUACGCGACUUGCACAAGGGCCCGACGUGAGUCAGUUUCAGGACUAGCACCAAGAACCUCUGGCUCCCGGUCUCAGGUUAUGAAACUCUAUUUGGUUCUUUCUUUCCA